GAUCACAUUGUAUGAUUCGCUGAGGUGCCUGUAACGUGAUCCGAGUUAGCCAUUAAGCUUUUUCCAGUGAUACUACACAUGAAAACUAGGCAUAUGUCCUUGUUUAGUAAUCAAAAUAUCAUUAAUAAACAAGAACAAUAUUAUUAUUAUUAUUAUUAUUGUUGUUGUUAUUAGAUUCCACAUAUUAUUAUAAUUGUUAAUAGACCUUUUUCACAGAAACCGGAAAUACGCAAUCGCAGGGUAUGCACACUUCCUGUCUAAUGUCAACACAGCAGAAAGCGGGGUAAUUAAAAAUGGAGAGUGUCUACACAACUUCCCUCAUGGGUUUGCCAAAGAGCACCUUUGCCGACGUGACAAAAAUCGUGGAGGAAAACUCCGUCACAAAGAGGAACAAACUGGAAAAAGGAUAUACAUUUUUCCACUAAGAGUUUAUCCAUAAUAGUGAUGCGCGUAUGGCGGUUAUAUCCGCGGGUCGGGUGGGUCCGGUAAUAAAAAAAAAAAAUGCAUUCUGAUUAUUUGCGGAUGGGUCGCGGGUGGAUGAGAUAAAUCAAUAAUGACGCAAAUAUUAACUACAUUUUCUAAAAUAUGAACCUGCUUUAAAUACUUUGUGUGUGUCUGUUCGCCUGUUCGAAAAGUUGUGACAGAAAAGGUGACAUUCCAGAUGAAGUUUGAAGGGAGUUUACGCCUGUGUUAAUGUUAUUGAGUAGGGUAAUAUACAGUGGUGUAGUGCAGAACCUGCGUAUACACAUCUCUUUAUCAGUCGGCUUUGCAUAUACCCACUUCUAAACCCUUUCUGAUGCGCAUCAUUCAGUAGUGUCCUGCGUUAGCCAAAAUCAUAACAGGCCACCUUUGGGCCAAGUGAACGUCUUGUGUGUAGCAGCUAGCGACGAUAGCCCAUUUUCGUCUUUCUUCUUCGUUAGCAGGGAAGGAGUGGAAAGAUAAAUAAGGCUGCUUUUGGGCAUUACAAAACAGCCCGGUACGCUACAACAACUCUUGCUCGAUGCUUGCGCCAUCUUUGUUGUUUACCUGGUUACCGGCAUACCGGGGAGGAAAUAGGUUUCCACAGCAAUUGCGUAUUUCCGGUGCAAAAUACGGAAGUUGUGAGAAAGGUCUAUAAUGUUUGAGGAUCAACUGACCCUAGGUUAAUACAAUUUACCAAAAAUAGCACUAUGGAAAAUACAAAAUAAUAUGUAUAAGUAGCAAGCAGAUCAAAUGGUUAUAACAAAAUUGUGACUUUACGAAAUACAUUACAAAAAUUAAACAAUAGCCUAAAUAUGAGAACAUACGAUAAAUAAUCCUGUAUACAAUAUUUUAAACAUUUUCUAACUGUAAGGUUUUCAUUUUCACAAACGGUUAGUAUAUUACAACUUUUAAAAUUUCAUUUUCUGUUUAUGCUUUUGGAAAUGAAUUUUUACUAUCCCUAGUUAGGCUUAUUUGCAUUUUAGGUUAAUUCUGACCACAAAGUGUGUAAUCAAAUGGGUGAUCGCUCUGCGAAAUAUAUUAAAUUAUAUAUUGGGUAAUAAUAUUGCCAUUAUUGCAUAUAUGUUGGGGUGUGGUUUUUCAAUGUAAACAAUCACAAGUUUUAUUUACAUUUCAUUAUUUACACACAGUAAAAAUAGAUGGGUUAUUUUUUUAACCCAAUAGAUGGGUUACACAUAUUGGGUCGCUAUGUUGGGUUAUUUUCUAAAACGUUGGGAUAUUUUUUUAAACAUCGUUGGGUUGUUUUUAAUAAUAACCCAGCGUUGGGUUUAACUGGUUCCUGCGGCGACAGUUCAGAUUUUAACGGACGACAGUGACUGACAACAGAAGAAGCUGCUGCUGCAUCAGUGUGAGACAUUGGGUUCUUCAGUGAAGGGAAAACUACAACAGUGGAAUCUCAUACAUUAAAUAUCCACAUGCCAAUUAACUGAAACAUUUCAAGAGGAAGGAGUGAAUGAAGGAAGUUUUAUGCUGCCGGAUGACACCAGCAUUGCUGCACUAAUUCCAAAAAACUCCUCCCAAGUUUUGAGCAUUUUCAACAGUGAAGCAGUGGAACAGAAGACCUAACUACAAGCAGUGGAUCUGUGUUUCAAACAUUUCUACAUGUAUGACAUCAACUACCCAAAGCCCUCUGCACCCAUUUGCAGCACACAGUCUUUGAUAUUCCAGGAGUUCUUUCAACACAUCACCUCUUCCUUAGAAACUUUAUAUUUAUUGAUCAGUAAAAACUUUUUAUGUUACUGAUUAUCAGUAAGUCCAGCAGCCAGCAGAUUUGCUUUGUUUUAUUAUUAUUAUUAUUAUUAUUAUUACUUGUGUUUAUGAUUUUUUAUUUUUGUUUUAUUGAUAAAGGUUUGUAUGUUGUGUUUGUUUUAUUUGUGUAUGUGUUGAUAUAAAUAAAUAUGAAUUGAUACACAUUUGUGACCCUGGACCACAAAACCAGUCAUAAGUAUCAUGGGUAUAUUUGUAGCAAUAGCCAAAAUUACAUUGCAUGGGUCAAAAUGAUCAAUUUUUCUUUCAUGCCAAAAAUCAUUAAAAUAUUAAGUAAAGAUCAUGUUCCAUGAAGAUAUUUUGUAAAUCUCCUACCAUAAGUAUAUCAAAACUUAAUUUCUUAUAUGUAUUGCUAAUAACUUCAUUUGGACAACUUUAAAGGUAAUUUUCUCAAUAUUUAGAUUUUUUUGCACCCUCAGAUUACAGAUUUUUAAAUAGUUGUUCUAUCCUAACAAACUACAUAUUAAUAGAAAGCUUAUUUAUUGAGCUUUCAGAUGAUAUGUACAUUUAAAUACAAAAAACUUGACCCUUAUGACUGGUUUUGUGGACCUGAGUCACAAUUGUUGGUUUUGAAUUCAGUGACAUUUUGAAAAUAUGUCAGUUGUAUGUGCAUAUUU